CGUCAAUCAAUCAUCGCCAACGCAUCCCUAA
rnacentral:sRNA from 1 species